GCGCCUGUAGUAUAAUGGUCAUUAUACCUGCCUUCCAAGCAGGUGACAGGGGUUCGAUUCCCCUCGGGCGCA
rnacentral:tRNA from 1 species